UGCCUGGGCAAUGGGCAAAGAGACACCUUGGUGGUGGUGGUGUUCUUUUAUCAGUCAAGAGCAGAGCAGGUGGCAGUCCUUUGUUCAUUCUAGCCUUCAGUCUGACUUGGUGGCCAAAACCGUCUUAUGUCUAGGGCACAUAU